rnacentral:rRNA from 1 species
UAUACGACCGUACCGCAAACCGACACUGGUGCGCGAGAUGAGUAUUCUAAGGCGCUUGAGAGAACUCAGGAGAAGGAACUCGGCAAAUUGACACCGUAACUUCGGAAGAAGGUGUGCCCUAUUAGUGUGUAGUGAACAACGAAGCAUGAAUGGGUUGCAAAAAAUCGGUGGCUGCGACUGUUUAUUAAAAACACAGCACUCUGCAAACACGAAAGUGGACGUAUAGGGUGUGACGCCUGCCCGGUGCUGGAAGAUUAAAUGAUGGGGUGCAAGCUCUUGAUUGAAGUCCCAGUAAACGGCGGCCGUAACAAUAACGGUCCUAAGGUAGCGAAAUUCCUUGUCGGGUAAGUUCCGACCUGCACGAAUGGCGUAACGAUGGCCACACUGUCUCCUCCUGAGACUCAGCGAAGUUGAAAUGUUUGUGAUGAUGCAAUCUCCCCGCGGAAAGACGGAAAGACCCCAUGAACCUUUACUGUAGCUUUGUAUUGGACUUUGAACAGAUCUGUGUAGGAUAGGUGGGAGGCUUUGAAGCAGGGUCGCUAGAUCUUGUGGAGCCAACGUUGAAAUACCACCCUGGUGUGUUUGAGGUUCUAACCUAGGUCCAUUAUCUGGAUCGGGGACAGUGCAUGGUAGGCAGUUUGACUGGGGCGGUCUCCUCCCAAAGCGUAACGGAGGAGUUCGAAGGUACGCUAGUUACGGUCGGACAUCGUGACGAUAGUGCAAUGGCAUAAGCGUGCUUAACUGCGAGACUGACAAGUCGAGCAGAUGCGAAAGCAGGACAUAGUGAUCCGGUGGUUCUGUAUGGAAGGGCCAUCGCUCAACGGAUAAAAGGUACUCUGGGGAUAACAGGCUGAUACCGCCCAAGAGUUCAUAUCGACGGCGGUGUUUGGCACCUCGAUGUCGGCUCAUCUCAUCCUGGGGCUGUAGCCGGUCCCAAGGGUAUGGCUGUUCGCCAUUUAAAGAGGUACGUGAGCUGGGUUUAAAACGUCGUGAGACAGUUUGGUCCCUAUCUUCCGUGGGCGCUGCAGAUUUGAGGAAGCCUGCUCCUAGUACGAGAGGACCGGAGUGGACACACCUCUGGUGUAUCGGUUGUCACGCCAGUGGCAUUGCCGAGUAGCUAAGUGUGGAAGAGAUAACCGCUGAAAGCAUCUAAGCGGGAAACUCGUUUCAAGAUGAGAUCUGCCGGGGCCUUGAGCCCCCUAAAGAGUCGUUCAAGACCAGGACGUUGAUAGGUCAGGUGUGGAAGCGAA